rnacentral:rRNA from 1 species
CCAAGGAGUCUAACAUGUGCGCAAGUCAUUGGGUGUAUAAAACCUAAAGGCGUAAUGAAAGUAAAGAAUUGUUUUACACAAUUUGUGGGAUGAUGAAUUAUCUUGAAGCAAUGAUGGAUAGUUUCGCAAUCCCGGGGCGUCUCAUUCUCAUUGCGAGAAGAGGCGCACCUUGAGCGUAUACGUUGGGACCCGAAAGAUGGUGAACUAUGCCUGGCGAGGACAAAGUCAGGGGAAACCCUGAUGGAGGUCCGUAGCGAUUCUGACGUGCAAAUCGAUCGUCGGAGCUGGGUAUAGGGGCGAAAGACUAAUCGAACCAUCUAGUAGCUGGUUCCCUCCGAAGUUUCCCUCAG